GACAGAGGUGGCAAGCGUUGUCCGGAAUUACUGGGCGUAAAGAGCGCGUAGGUGGCUAGAUAAGUCCGGUGUGAAAUCCUUCGGCUUAACCGGGGAAUGGCAUCGGGGACUGUAUAGCUAGAGGACGGAAGAGGAGAGCGGAAUUCCCGGUGUAGUGGUGAAAUGCGUAGAUAUCGGGAGGAACACCAGUGGCGAAGGCGACUACCUGGCCCAUUCUUGACGCUGAGGCGCGAAAGCUAGGGGAGCGAACGGG
rnacentral:rRNA from 1 species